UUUUAUAGUUCUUGUCAUGCAGAAUUGUGAUAAUGAAUUAUUUGCCUCUAUCAUCGGACUAUGAACUACUCAAGGGAAAAAACUUGCCUUAUUCACCUCUGCAUUUCUAAGGUUUAGCUUAAUUCUUGGCAUAAGUAAGCACUUAGAAACACUGGAUGGACAAACAAAUGACUUUUCUUGAGAACACAUCCUUAAGAGUAUAGCUAUUUAGAUCAACAUGUUAAAAUAUUCAAAGCUCUUUCAUACAGCUUCUCAUUUAAUCCCACUCUAUGCCUAUAAAUGAAGCACUGUUAUCCCCACAUUGCAGAUGAGAAAACUGAGAAUCAAGGAGACACACAGCUGGAUAAUGGCAGAGCAUGAAUGUAACAGAACAUGGAGUCUCGGAGUUGUGACGUCCAUUGCCAGCAAAGGUUCAGACAAAGGAGCAGGAGGACACACCGUAUGGUCUCAGGCUGCCAACUUAAUCCAAUCGCUAAGUGGGAACCACUGAAUCCUCCUUUAUAAACACCUUGCAUAUUCCCUGUUGCAACUAAGAGAUG
ensembl:lncRNA novel transcript